ensembl:ncRNA T02E9.23 ncRNA
AUCUGCUCGAUUUUUUGAAACAAUAGGCGAUAAAAAGCUGGAAAAAGCGUGACCUUUUGCAAAAAAGGAUAUGAAUACCGGUGUGGAUGUAGCUGUUCGUGAAGAAUGGCAGGUGUCUAAACAAACCGGCUGCUGACACAUUGAGAGGCUUUCCGAGUGGCGCUGAAAUCUGAUACUCAACGGCGACCCGCUGUUCGAGAUUGAGGAUGAGUGGGACGAGGUGUUCUGAUUCGAAUUUGAAUGAGAUCGAACCUGUAGAUCAAACAAACAAUGUGUAACCAGUUUAAUAGAAAUUUUUAGGGUA